UAACAAGAGGAAAAAUUUGGACUGAUUGCGACCUCUUUGGGUACUCCCAGAAAAAUGCUAAAACAGUAAGG
rfam:Capnocytophaga haemolytica strain CCTG 32990, complete genome.